UCGAGGUACGGGAGGCAACAACAGAAGUGAUGGAAGUUUGAUCCUGUAACCAGUGAACUUUUUAAACGUGGCAUGAAUGACACAACGGAGAGAGUGCAAUUCAAAGGAAAAUAAACAAGAGAUAUGGUGGAUAAAAUACACGGGAUUGACUUUUUAAAGAAACAUUUUGGGAUGACAUCCAAUGGUUUCUGUGGUGAUCUAAUGGAUACAGAGAGGCAAGGUGGUGGUUGUAAGAGGAAAGGUCACUUUCAGUUCAGCCAUCGCUGACCUCACUGUGACUGCUGCACGUAAACCUCUGGGAAGCUGUGAUGAGGGAAAAGAGGCAUGAGGGACCUGUUGAAGCAGCACACCAGAGAAAGGCCUCUAUUGUUACUGAGGGCUGUGAUUGAAUUAUGAU